rnacentral:rRNA from 1 species
AACGAACGCUGGCGGCAUGCCUAACACAUGCAAGUCGAACGAGACCUUCGGGUCUAGUUGCGCACGGGUGCGUAACGCAUGGGAACCUGCCCUUAGGUUCGGAAUAACUCCCCGAAAGGGGUGCUAAUACCGGAUAAUGUCUUCGGACCAAAGAUUUAUCGCCUUUGGAUGGGCCCGCGUUGGAUUAGCUAGUUGGUAGGGUAAAAGCCUACCAAGGCGACGAUCCAUAGCUGGUCUGAGAGGAUGAUCAGCCACACUGGGACUGAGACACGGCCCAGACUCCUACGGGAGGCAGCAGUGGGGAAUAUUGGACCAUGGGCGAAAGCCUGAUCCAGCAAUGCCGCGUGAGUGAUGAAGGCCUUAGGGUUGUAAAGCUCUUUUACCCGGGAUGAUAAUGACAGUACCGGGAGAAUAAGCUCCGGCUAACUCCGUG